rnacentral:snoRNA from 1 species
UCUGCACAUUGUUAGAGCUUGGAGUUGAGGCUGCUGGCCCAUGGACUCACAAGUGUAGGUAGUGUGCUACACGAGGGGCAAGUGUUUCGCUAACACCACAAGGGUCUCUGGCCCAAUGAGUGGAGUUGGAUAGUAAUACUUGCUACAAAA